AACGAACGCUGGCGGCAGGCUUAACACAUGCAAGUCGAACGCCCCGCAAGGGGAGUGGCAGACGGGUGAGUAACGCGUGGGAAUCUACCUAGUUCUUCGGAACAACAGUUGGAAACGACUGCUAAUACCGUAUACGCCCUACGGGGGAAAGAUUUAUCGGAAUUAGAUGAGCCCGCGUAAGAUUAGCUAGUUGGUGAGGUAAUGGCUCACCAAGGCGACGAUCUUUAGCUGGUCUGAGAGGAUGAUCAGCCACACUGGGACUGAGACACGGCCCAGACUCCUACGGGAGGCAGCAGUGGGGAAUAUUGGACAAUGGGCGCAAGCCUGAUCCAGCCAUGCCGCGUGAGUGACGAAGGCCUUAGGGUUGUAAAGCUCUUUCAGUAGGGAAGAUAAUGACGGUACCUACAGAAGAAGCCCCGGCUAACUUCGUGCCAGCCGCCGCCGUAAUAC
rnacentral:rRNA from 1 species